rnacentral:rRNA from 1 species
UACGAAGGGGGCGAGCGUUGUUCGGAAUCACUGGGCGUAAAGGGCGCGUAGGCGGCCCUCCUUGUCGCGUGUGAAAGCCCCGGGCUCAACCUGGGAACGGCGCGCGAGACGGGGGGGCUGGAGUUCGGGAGAGGAGCGUGGAAUUCCCAGUGUAGAGGUGAAAUUCGUAGAUAUUGGGAAGAACACCGGUGGCGAAGGCGAGUCUCUGGACAUUUCCUGACGCUGAGGCACGAAAGCCAGGGGAGCAAACGGG